rnacentral:snRNA from 1 species
GGAAACGAGCCAUCUGGCAUAGACAUCUGCCAUAACAUUGACCUUCAGGGUAUCUUGGCUGCUCUGCCUGACCCGGCAGGUGCCUACAUCUUUCUUCAUAACUCUUAGUUGUUCUUCCACAUUGGCCACCUUUUCUCAUAUAGAAGAGAGUGUUUUUAAUUAAGGUUAUAGGAACAUGAAUGUAACUUUUUAGAACCUCUAAAAUCAGAUUUAAAAGACCAUAAAAAGUACAAUUAUUUUCAGAAAAUAAUUAUUUCCAGAAAAUUCACUAUAGAUAGUAAUUUUUCACU